rnacentral:rRNA from 1 species
GACGAACGCUGGCGGCGUGCCUAAUACAUGCAAGUAGAACGCUGAAGAGAGGAGCUUGCUCUUCUUGGAUGAGUUGCGAACGGGUGAGUAACGCGUAGGUAACCUGCCUUGUAGCGGGGGAUAACUAUUGGAAACGAUAGCUAAUACCGCAUAACAAUAGGUGACACAUGUCAUUUAUUUGAAAGGGGCAAUUGCUCCACUACAAGAUGGACCUGCGUUGUAUUAGCUAGUAGGUGAGGUAACGGCUCACCUAGGCGACGAUACAUAGCCGACCUGAGAGGGUGAUCGGCCACACUGGGACUGAGACACGGCCCAGACUCCUACGGGAGGCAGCAGUAGGGAAUCUUCGGCAAUGGGGGCAACCCUGACCGAGCAACGCCGCGUGAGUGAAGAAGGUUUUCGGAUCGUAAAGCUCUGUUGUAAGUCAAGAACGAGUGUGAGAGUGGAAAGUUCACACUGUGACGGUAGCUUACCAGAAAGGGACGGCUAACUACGUGCCAGCAGCCGCGGUAAUACGUAGGUCCCGAGCGUUGUCCGGAUUUAUUGGGCGUAAAGCGAGCGCAGGCGGUUUGAUAAGUCUGAAGUUAAAGGCUGUGGCUCAACCAUAGUUCGCUUUGGAAACUGUCAAACUUGAGUGCAGAAGGGGAGAGUGGAAUUCCAUGUGUAGCGGUGAAAUGCGUAGAUAUAUGGAGGAACACCGGUGGCGAAAGCGGCUCUCUGGUCUGUAACUGACGCUGAGGCUCGAAAGCGUGGGGAGCGAACAGGAUUAGAUACCCUGGUAGUCCACGCCGUAAACGAUGAGUGCUAGGUGUUGGAUCCUUUCCGGGAUUCAGUGCCGCAGCUAACGCAUUAAGCACUCCGCCUGGGGAGUACGACCGCAAGGUUGAAACUCAAAGGAAUUGACGGGGGCCCGCACAAGCGGUGGAGCAUGUGGUUUAAUUCGAAGCAACGCGAAGAACCUUACCAGGUCUUGACAUCCCGAUGCUAUUUCUAGAGAUAGAAAGUUACUUCGGUACAUCGGUGACAGGUGGUGCAUGGUUGUCGUCAGCUCGUGUCGUGAGAUGUUGGGUUAAGUCCCGCAACGAGCGCAACCCCUAUUGUUAGUUGCCAUCAUUCAGUUGGGCACUCUAGCGAGACUGCCGGUAAUAAACCGGAGGAAGGUGGGGAUGACGUCAAAUCAUCAUGCCCCUUAUGACCUGGGCUACACACGUGCUACAAUGGUUGGUACAACGAGUUGCGAGUCGGUGACGGCAAGCUAAUCUCUUAAAGCCAAUCUCAGUUCGGAUUGUAGGCUGCAACUCGCCUACAUGAAGUCGGAAUCGCUAGUAAUCGCGGAUCAGCACGCCGCGGUGAAUACGUUCCCGGGCCUUGUACACACCGCCCGUCACACCACGAGAGUUUGUAACACCCGAAGUCGGUGAGGUAACCUUUUGGAGCCAGCCGCCUAAGGUGGG